rnacentral:rRNA from 1 species
GGGGAAUAUUGCACAAUGGGCGAAAGCCUGAUGCAGCGACGCCGCGUGAGGGCUGACGGUCUUCGGGUUGUACACCUCUUUCAGCAGGGAAGAAGCGAAAGUGACGGUACCUGCAGAAGAAGCGCCGGCUAACUACGUGCCAGCAGCCGCGGUAAUACGUAGGGCGCAAGCGUUGUCCGGAAUUAUUGGGCGUAAAGAGCUCGUAGGCGGUUAGUCGCGUCUGCUGUGAAAACUCGAGGCUCAACCUCGGGCUUGCAGUGGGUACGGGCUGACUAUAGUGCGGUAGGGGUGACUGGAAUUCCUGGUGUAGCGGUGGAAUGCGCAGAUAUCAGGAGGAACACCGACGGCGAAGGCAGGUCACUGGGCCGCAACUGACGCUGAGGAGCGAAAGCAUGGUGAGCGAACA